GCCUUCGUGGUGUAACGGUAGCACACUCGUCGCGUAUUCUAGAAGUCCGGGUUCGAGUCCUGGCGAAGGCA
rfam:Stegodyphus mimosarum contig122471, whole genome shotgun sequence.